AGCACAGAGGAGCUUGCUCCUUGGGUGACGAGUGGCGGACGGGUGAGUAAUGCCUGGGAAACUGCCCGAUGGAGGGGGAUAACUACUGGAAACGGUAGCUAAUACCGCAUAACGUCUUCGGACCAAAGUGGGGGACCUUCGGGCCUCACACCAUCGGAUGUGCCCAGGUGGGAUUAGCUAGUAGGUGGGGUAAUGGCUCACCUAGGCGACGAUCCCUAGCUGGUCUGAGAGGAUGACCAGCCACACUGGAACUGAGACACGGUCCAGACUCCUACGGGAGGCAGCAGUGGGGAAUAUUGCACAAUGGGCGCAAGCCUGAUGCAGCCAUGCCGCGUGUAUGAAGAAGGCCUUCGGGUUGUAAAGUACUUUCAGCGGGGAGGAAGGCGGUGGGGUUAAUAGCUUCAUCGAUUGACGUUACUCGCAGAAGAAGCACCGGCUAACUCCGUGCCAGCAGCCGCGGUAAUACGGAGGGUGCAAGCGUUAAUCGGAAUUACUGGGCGUAAAGCGCACGCAGGCGGUCUGUCAAGUCGGAUGUGAAAUCCCCGGGCUUAACCUGGGAACUGCAUUCGAAACUGGCAGGCUAGAGUCUUGUAGAGGGGGGUAGAAUUCCAGGUGUAGCGGUGAAAUGCGUAGAGAUCUGGAGGAAUACCGGUGGCGAAAGGCGGCCCCCU
rnacentral:rRNA from 1 species